UGGGGAAUANUGGNCAAUGGACCAAAAGUCUGAUCCAGCAAUUCUGUGUGCACGAUGAAGUUUUUCGGAAUGUAAAGUGCUUUCAGUUGGGAAGAAAAAAAUGACGGUACCAACAGAAGAAGUGACGGCUAAAUACGUGCCAGCAGCCGCGGUAAUACGUAUGUCACGAGCGUUAUCCGGAUUUAUUGGGCGUAAAGCGCGUCUAGGUGGUUAUGUAAGUCUGAUGUGAAAAUGCAGGGCUCAACUCUGUAUUGCGUUGGAAACUGUAUAACUAGAGUACUGGAGAGGUAAGCGGAACUACAAGUGUAGAGGUGAAAUUCGUAGAUAUUUGUAGGAAUGCCGAUGGGGAAGCCAGCUUACUGGACAGAUACUGACGCUAAAGCGCGAAAGCGUGGGUAGCAAACAGGAUUAGAUACCCUGGUAGUCCACGCUGUAAACGAUGAUUACUAGGUGUUGGGGGUCGAACCUCAGCGCCCAAGCAAACGCGAUAAGUAAUCCGCCUGGGGAGUACGUACGCAAGUAUG
rnacentral:rRNA from 1 species